rnacentral:rRNA from 1 species
CCAAACUGUUGCCUCGGCGGGAUCUCUGCCCCGGGUGCGUCGCAGCCCCGGACCAAGGCGCCCGCCGGAGGACCAACCAAAACUCUUAUUGUAUACCCCCUCGCGGGUUUUUUUUAUAAUCUGAGCCUUCUCGGCGCCCCUCGUGGGCGUUUCGAAAAUGAAUCAAAACUUUCAACAACGGAUCUCUUGGUUCUGGCAUCGAUGAAGAACGCAGCGAAAUGCGAUAAGUAAUGUGAAUUGCAGAAUUCAGUGAAUCAUCGAAUCUUUGAACGCACAUUGCGCCCGCCAGUAUUCUGGCGGGCAUGCCUGUCCGAGCGUCAUUUCAACCCUCGAACCCCUCCGGGGGGUCGGCGUUGGGGAUCGGCCCUCCCUCUGCGGGGGCCGUCUCCGAAAUACAGUGGCGGUCUCGCCGCAGCCUCUCCUGCGCAGUAGUUUGCACACUCGCACCGGGAGCGCGGCGCGUCCACAGCCGUUAAACACCCAACUUUCUGAAAUGUUGACCUCGGAUCAGGUAGGAAUACCCGCUGAACUUAAGCAUAUCAAUAAGCCGGAGGAA